rnacentral:rRNA from 1 species
AUUCCAGUUCCAUUAGCGUAUAUUAAAGUUGUUGCGGCCAACAAGCUCGUAGUUGGAUUUCUGCCGAGGACGACCGGUCCGCCCUGCGGGUGAGCAUCUGGGACGACGUGGGCAUAUUCUUGGAUCACGUGUCUGCACUUGGUUGUGUGGCGUGGUAUCCAGGAGGUUUACUUUGAGGAAAUUAGAGUGUUUCAAUCAGGCCCACGCCUUGAAUACAUUAGCAUGGAAUAAUAAGAUAUGACCUCGGUUCUAUGUUGUCGGUUUCUAGAACUGAGGUAAUGAUUCAUACGGAUAGUUUGGGGCAUUCGUAUUUAUUUGUCAGAGGUAAAAUUGUUGGAUUUGUUAAAGACGGACUGCUGCGAACGCAUUUGCCCAGGACGUUUUCAUUA